rnacentral:tRNA from 1 species
GCACUGGUAGCUCAAUAAAAAAGAGCGCCGGCCUUGUAAGCCGGAGGCUGGAGGCGAGACCCCUCCCCUGUGUU